rnacentral:rRNA from 1 species
CAGUGAGGAAUAUUGCGCAAUGGAGGCAACUCUGACGCAGCCAUGCCGCGUGCAGGAAGAAGGCGCUACGCGUUGUAAACUGCUUUUAUCCGGGAAGAAACCCCAGGACGUGUCCUGGGUUGACGGUACCGGAGGAAUAAGCACCGGCUAACUUCGUGCCAGCAGCCGCGGUAAUACGAAGGGUGCAAGCGUUAUCCGGAUUCAUUGGGUUUAAAGGGUGCGUAGGCGGAACAAUAAGUCAGCGGUGAAAGCCCGUAGCUUAACUACGGAAUUGCCGUUGAUACUGUUGUUCUUGAGUACGCUUGACGUGGGCGGAAUGUGCCGUGUAGCGGUGAAAUGCUUAGAUAUGGCACAGAACACCGAUAGUGAAGACAGCUCACGAAGGCGAAACUGACGCUGAGGCACGAAAGCGUGGGGAUCAAACAGGAUUAGAUACCCUGGUAGUCCACGCCGUAAACGAUGAUCACUCGUGAUGGCGAUAUACGGUCAGUCAC